rnacentral:rRNA from 1 species
GACGGAGGAUGCAAGCGUUAUCCGGAAUGAUUGGGCGUAAAGCGUCCGCAGGUGGCAGUUCAAGUCUGCUGUCAAAGACCGGGGCUUAACUUCGGAAAGGCAGUGGAAACUGAACAGCUAGAGUAUGGUAGGGGCAGAGGGAAUUCCUGGUGUAGCGGUGAAAUGCGUAGAGAUCAGGAAGAACAUCGGUGGCGAAGGCGCUCUGCUGGACCAUAACUGACACUCGGGGACGAAAGCUAGGGGAGCGAACCGG